UACGUAGGGGGCUAGCGUUGUCCGGAAUCAUUGGGCGUAAAGCGCGUGUAGGCGGUCCGGUAAGUCCGCUGUGAAAGUCGGGGGCUCAACCCUCGGAUGCCGGUGGAUACUGUCGGGCUUGAGUACGGAAGAGGCGAGUGGAAUUCCCAGUGUAGCGGUGAAAUGCGUAGAUAUUGGGAGGAACACCAGUGGCGAAGGCGGCUCACUGGACCGGAACUGACGCUGAGGCGCGAAAGCGUGGGGAGCAAACAGG
rnacentral:rRNA from 1 species